UUGUCUCAGUUGUCAUCAGGAAUGAUCAUAAUUUGAAGGAUAAGCCUGUGGCUGUAUGCCAUUCGGACAGUCCCAAAGGAACUGCUGAAAUUUCGUCUGCCAAUUAUCCUGCUCGUGUUUAUGGAGUAAGAGCUGGAAUGUUUGUUAGAGAUGCUAAGGCUCUUUGUCCUCACUUAUUGAAAGCAGCAGACUUGGCACAGAUGGGCUUCGACGGAGGUGAUGGGAUUCACUACAAUAGAAAG